AUUGAACGCUGGCGGCAUGCCUUACACAUACAAGUCGAACGGCAGCACGGGUGCUUGCACCUGGUGGCGAGUGGCGAACGGGUGAGUAAUACAUCGGAACAUGUCCUGUAGUGGGGGAUAGCCCGGCGAAAGCCGGAUUAAUACCGCAUACGAUCUACGGAUGAAAGCGGGGGACCUUCGGGCCUCGCGCUAUAGGGUUGGCCGAUGGCUGAUUAGCUAGUUGGUGGGGUAAAGGCCUACCAAGGCGACGAUCAGUAGCUGGUCUGAGAGGACGACCAGCCACACUGGGACUGAGACACGGCCCAGACUCCUACGGGAGGCAGCAGUGGGGAAUUUUGGACAAUGGGCGAAAGCCUGAUCCAGCAAUGCCGCGUGUGUGAAGAAGGCCUUCGGGUUGUAAAGCACUUUUGUCCGGAAAGAAAUCCUUGGCCCUAAUACGGUCGGGGGAUGACGGUACCGGAAGAAUAAGCACCGGCUAACUACGUG
rnacentral:rRNA from 1 species